AUACGGAGGGUGCAAGCGUUGUUCGGAAUCACUGGGCGUAAAGGGCGCGCAGGCGGUUUGGUAAGUCAGAUGUGAAAGCCCACGGCUCAACCGUGGAAGCGCAUUUGAAACUGUCAGACUUGAGUACUAGAGGGGAAAGUGGAAUUCCCGGUGUAGAGGUGAAAUUCGUAGAUAUCGGGAGGAAUACCGGUGGCGAAGGCGACUUUCUGGCUAGAUACUGACGCUGAGGCGCGAAAGCGUGGGGAGCAAACAGGAUUAGAAACCCCGGUAGUCC
rnacentral:rRNA from 1 species